UACGGAAUGUGCAAACGUUAUUCGGAAUCACUGGGCUUAAAGAGUCCGUAGGCGGCAUGUUAGGUGAGGUGUGAAAUCCCCCGGCUCAACCGAGGAAUUGCGCUUCAAACCUGCGUGCUUGAGGAAGAUAGAGGUGGGCGGAACUGAUGGUGGAGCGGUGAAAUGCGUUGAUAUCAUCAGGAACACCGGAGGCGAAAGCGGCCCACUGGGUCUUUUCUGACGCUGAGGGACGAAAGCUAGGGGAGCGAACGGG
rnacentral:rRNA from 1 species